rnacentral:sRNA from 1 species
GCUGGGCGUGGUGGCAGAGGCCUGUAGUCCCAGCUACUUGGGAGGCUGAGACAUGAGAUUCGCCUGAAUCCAGGAGGCAGAGGUUGCUGUGAACCGACAUUGUGCCUACUGCACUCCAGCCUGGGUGACAGAGUGAGACUCUGUCUCCAAAAAUAAAGGCCGGGCGCGGUGGCUCAAGCCUGUAAUCCCAGCACUUUGGGAAGCCGAGGUGGGUGGAUCACGAGGUCAAAAGAUCAAGACCACCCUGGUCAACAUGGUGAAACCCUGUCUCU